GGCCACCCUGGAGGAGCUGCAGAGCGUCCACAGCGAGCGCCACGUCCUCCUCUACGGCACCAACCCCCUCAGCCGCCUCAAGCUGGACAAUGGCAAGCUGGCAGGGAUCCUGUCGCAGAGGACGUUCGUGAUGCUGCCCUGCGGAGGGGUGGGGGUGGACAGUGACACCAUCUGGAACGAGCUGCACUCGUCCAACGCUGCCCGCUGGGCCG